rnacentral:sRNA from 1 species
CUCCAUCCCUAGAACCAAAAGCACAGGUCAUUGGAGAAGUGUUGCCACCAAAGAGCAGGCUCUACUCCCUUCCGUGCCUGUGUAACCUGCAGGACUCUGCACAAAAGCUACAGUUGCCUGGAAUCAGGUUUGAAUCCCAGGGGUGACUGUGUUUGACCUCUCAGAACCUCAUCUCUCUCCUUUGACAGGCAUAGCCCAGGCUGGCAAAACCACCUCAGGGACAGGACAUUUGCCUAUACCGUGAAUAGCUUUGGGCUUGCAGGACUAACAGGAAAGGAGAAUGGCAAAUGUUCACAGGGCUUGGCUUGUGUCCAUAUUUCUUGGCCAUUGUUCCUCCUGGUGACUUAUUUCGCACAGCCUCCUGCAUGUCUCUGUGUAAAUAAAGACACUUUAGAGGAGAGCCAGCAGAAAUGAGGCUUCGUGUUCUUUGUUCCUCUUCUUCCUGGAAAAGGCUUCCAAGAACUUCUAGCCAUGGGAAGUGAGCAAACAAGGGUGAUAUUAAUCUGUAAAAAAAACAAACCAGGUUUUCCCUUUCUCCAGCAGCUGGGCACAAGUCCACUCCCUGGUAACUCUACCCCCAAUCAAUGUACAACCAGAGCUUCCUGUUCCGACCUGUAAACAAGACCCCUGUAAACAAGCCAGGUUUCCAGGCCUCUGGGAUUUCCUCAGCUGCUCACUCUCCCAGGAGAACCAGUGACAGCUGCCAAGCCUCCCGCCGAGUCCAGGAAGCAAGGUGUACACUUCAAGGUCUGCCAGCCGCUUCUUUUUGCGUUUCUAAGUCAAGUGUCUCGAACAUUUGAAGACACCUGCACCAUUGCCAAGCCAAAGGAGGGUUGAAAAGAAAACAGGAGACUAAAGACAAGGAAACAGACUCUGAGAGAUUAAGCAACUCGUCCAAGCUUACUCAACCAGUAGAUGUGGGAGGCCUGACAACCCACCCUGUGUUUCUAUUUCACAAGCUAACGCCCCAGCCACCGGGGCAACUGUUCCUGGGAAUGGAGGGUAUGUGCUUCGUCCCCUCAAAGGUCAGAAGAGGAUUAGAUCCCUCGAUUCUGAAUUACAGGUGGGAUGGUCGUGAGCCACCACUGGAUGUGGGAAUCCAACCUGGGUUUUCUGCAAGAGCAACACGUGCUCUCCACAACCACGCUGCCUCUCUAGACGUUUUUUGGGUAAAAUUUAAAUGAUAUCAAAAUGAAAGAUUUAAGAAAUGUCAGUGCCAAUGGAGUGAUUUCAUUUCUUCUCACUGAUGAAUGCGGUCCAUGAUGGUUAAAACUCUUUCAAGCAAGAUAAAGCCGGUUUCCCUUGAUGCCUUUGAACUCCAGACUUAGAGACAAUGGAUGGAGAAAAUAAAAUCUGGAGUCAGGUGGCAGCGGUGCACACCUUUGAUCACAGCACUCCAGAGGAAGAGGCAAGGGACUCUAUCUCUGAGUCCGAGGACAGUCCGGUCUGAGAUCGAGUUCCAGGACAGCCAGGGCUACACAGAAAAAUCCUGCCUCGAAUAACGAAAAAACAAAACUAAAAACACAUCAAAACCAAACAAACCGGGGUUAUUCUGUGCUGUCGGUGGCUGGGAGUGGAUACCUUUUGUCCAGCCAAAUGAAUCUUCCCCUCUGAUCGUACCCUUCCGGGCCUUGUGUAAUGAACUGGGCAAACCGACUGCAGCACUCUGCAAACCCCAACCUCCGAAAGGAGGGUUGAACUUCUUGGAACCCUCAAAAAAUACCAGUGAACUUCAGGAAGUAACGCACGCAACUCUUUUCCAGAAAGAGGUCAAUGGUCACAGAAUCGAAGGAAACACCACGAUGACCCUGGGACUUCCUGCCCACACACUCGGCAUCAUCUCAAAGUUCAAAGGGUUCACGAACUGACAUCCGGCUGACAGACAGGGAAUGCGGCUCAGUGGUAGAGGGCUUCCCUACCCUGGGAGAGGCCCUGGCUUUUAUCUCCAACCCUGCAAAGAAAAGAUUAAUCAAAUGAAAUGGAAAUAAAGCGGGCUUUAUGAAGAAACCCGCUUUCCCUGGGGUCUGGUUUCCUCCCCACCCCUCCUCCCCGCUCAUGACUGAGAGUCAGACUUGAAUGCAACUGGUCAAACCAAGAUUGCCUGCAGAGAUAACCAAGUUUUCCUAAAGCCUUCAAACAAGAAUGCUGUAAACAAACGAAUGUGCAAACGUGCUUACUCGAGAUCAGAAUGUCUCUUACCCAUCAACAUUCCCUUUUAAACGGCAAUUAAACAGUUUCACCUCAUAAA